rnacentral:lncRNA from 1 species
AUUACCCACGCCCAACUCUUCUCCUCCUUUUAAAACAACAACAAACGUCUUAUCCACGUGAGAGGAUAAAGAUGAGUAAUUGCACAUUUGAAUUCAAAUCAAAUUUUGAAUUCAAAUGGAAACCAAUUUAUCCCUAUCCACUAAAGGUGUGAGAAGAGGAGGGCAUGGCUUAAUUUGUGCAUGAGUGAUUUCAUGAGAAAUAUUUUCUCGUGUAAUAAAUGGGGCGUUAAAAGAGGAUAAGGUCAAGGCGCUAAGAUUGGUUGCUCAUUCAAAUUCAAACUUUGUUUUGAAUUUGAAUGGCCAACCAAUCAUCCUUAUCCACUCAUUUNNN